UAUUUCUUUAUGGAAACGUGUCUAUCCGUGAUAAGAGUAUCAACAGGUACAAAGUUCUGGAUCCGCUGCAGAGACCUCGCCAAUCCCUCUUGCUCCAUGUGGUAGCUACCCCCCACUUCAUUACUCUUUUGACACAAAAGCUAUAUUAGAACAGGACGAAGGUCCCGUACUUGGCACUGUGCCCAAGAGAAUCGGCACGUCCAUCACCACCACAUACUAUACCACCAUCCCUGCAAGGUGCUUAACAUCCACAUCUGUCUCUCCCUCCAUAGCUGCAUGGUUGCUGUGUGCAACACCAUCUGUUGGUGGCGGAAAAAUGUUCGGACAGAAAUAACAGCUGUUCCCAUCUGCUUUAAAACCCGUAGUACCUUCGAAGCAGUAGCUCCUGCAAACAGAAUGCCUGCAGACAGAUGAAUGUUACAAGCAG